rnacentral:rRNA from 1 species
GAUGAACGCUGGCGGCGUGCCUAAUACAUGCAGGUCGAGCGAACAGACGAGGAGCUUGCUCCUUCGACGUUAGCGGCGGACGGGUGAGUAACACGUAGGUAACCUACCUAUAAGACUGGGAUAACUUCGGGAAACCGGAGCUAAUACCGGAUAAUAUUUCGAACCGCAUGGUUCGAUAGUGAAAGAUGGCUUUGCUAUCACUUAUAGAUGGACCUGCGCCGUAUUAGCUAGUUGGUAAGGUAACGGCUUACCAAGGCAACGAUACGUAGCCGACCUGAGAGGGUGAUCGGCCACACUGGAACUGAGACACGGUCCAGACUCCUACGGGAGGCAGCAGUAGGGAAUCUUCCGCAAUGGGCGAAAGCCUGACGGAGCAACGCCGCGUGAGUGAUGAAGGUCUUCGGACCGUAAAACUCUGUUAUUAGGGAAGAACAAACGUGUAAGUAACUGUGCACGUCUUGACGGUACCUAAUCAGAAAGCCACGGCUAACUACGUG